UACGUAGGGUGCAAGCGUUGUCCGGAAUUAUUGGGCGUAAAGAGCUCGUAGGCGGUUUGUCGCGUCUGCUGUGAAAACUCGGGGCUUAACUCCGGGCCUGCAGUGGGUACGGGCAGACUAGAGUGCGGUAGGGGAGACUGGAAUUCCUGGUGUAGCGGUGAAAUGCGCAGAUAUCAGGAGGAACACCGGUGGCGAAGGCGGGUCUCUGGGCCGUAACUGACGCUGAGGAGCGAAAGCGUGGGGAGCGAACAGG
rnacentral:rRNA from 1 species